rnacentral:rRNA from 1 species
UGGGGAAUAUUGCGCAAUGGGCGGAAGCCUGACGCAGCGACGCCGCGUGGGGGAUGACGGCCUUCGGGUUGUAAACCUCUUUCGGCCCCGACGAAGCGUUUGUGACGGUAGGGGUAGAAGAAGCACCGGCCAACUACGUGCCAGCAGCCGCGGUAAUACGUAGGGUGCGAGCGUUGUCCGGAAUUAUUGGGCGUAAAGAGCUCGUAGGCGGUCUGUCGCGUCGAUCGUGAAAACUUGGGGCUUAACCCUGAGCUUGCGGUCGAUACGGGCAUGACUGGAGUUCGGCAGGGGAGACUGGAAUUCCUGGUGUAGCGGUGAAAUGCGCAGAUAUCAGGAGGAACACCGGUGGCGAAGGCGGGUCUCUGGGCCGAUACUGACGCUGAGGAGCGAAAGCGUGGGGAGCGAACA